AGCAGUAUGGUGUAAUGCUGCACAUGGGAUUCCACUAAGAAAGAUCACCAGAAGCUUAAUCCCGAGGUCCUUGAUCGAAUCAAGGUACUGCUC